UACGGGGGGAGCAAGCGUUGUUCGGAUUUACUGGGCGUAAAGGGCGCGUAGGCGGUCAGCACAAGUCAGUUGUGAAAUCUCCGGGCUUAACUCGGAAAGGUCAACUGAUACUGUGCGACUAGAGUGCAGAAGGGGCAACUGGAAUUCUCGGUGUAGCGGUGAAAUGCGUAGAUAUCGAGAGGAACACCUGCGGCGAAGGCGGGUCGCUGGGCUGACACUGACGCUGAGGCGCGAAAGCCAGGGGAGCGAACGGG
rnacentral:rRNA from 1 species